rnacentral:sRNA from 1 species
AUAUACAUAAUACGAUGGGCUUGGUUC